AUACCCAUCCCUACUAAGGAGUUCAGUGAGCUAUCUGCAAAAGCCUGGUUAGUCUACCAGCUGUUCAAGAAUGCACAGGACUGUAAAGUUAUUGUUCUAGGACCUCCAAAGUGGCAGGCGGCCACAAGUUUUCACGGCGUUCAAUAAAUGCAGCAAAGCACCCGUCUUGAAGAAGCCGUGCCUGUGUUGUCAUUUCGGAGUUACACUCUGAAAACGAGGUCACGCUUACUUCCCGAGCUAAAACCUCUGCUUGUGCUCACAGAUUCUAAAUCGCAACAAAUAAGAUAAUAACAACACAAGUGACUACAAAGUGACAGCAGAGGCUGGAGAAGAGCAAGCACGAAGUGAGACAUUGUGGUACCACACUUUCUAGUGGUACCACUCUUCAUAUACCAGUUUGAUAAUGUCCUAAAUGCAGCAUGUUAGUCCAUCAAAUUCCAUCUGAGCUUUGAAGAAAACACACUCAGCUCUUCCUGGAUUUUCAGAGUUGUUCGGUUCAUACAGGAACUUCGCAGUCACAGUUAACAUGUCGAUGUUUGGCUCCACCAUCUCAGCCAGUGAGCCCGGUCACAAUUUAUUCUGAGGAAAAAAAGAGGAACAAAAAGACAUUUUAAGAAGUUUGCUUUGUGUUGCUGUUGUUGUCUGUGAGUAGCAUCCAAUCAGAAGAGAGGAGGUGGAGCCUAGACAGAUGAAAAGGAAAUAGUUCAGAGAAGAAAACCAACAUCCGUUUGGGGGAUGUAACAAUGACAUAAAUUACAUUUUCAACAAAAGUUAGAGUGAAAACACAGUUACAGGAAAAAUGUGUCUAUCUAAAUUUAAAUAGUCUAAAUUUUACAUAGUCUAGAAUCGUGUUAACAGCAUCUGAUUGGGCGGUUCAGAGUGGAGCCUACGUAAGACGCGUCAGCAAGGAGCGGUGUGGACAAAAAAAUCAACACACCCAGACUUAUCACCUCUCUGUGAAAGAAGGAGAACAACAACAACAGCAGCCUUUAAAUCCUGUAGAAAAAAUAAAAUAACCUAUUGCCUUUGGGAAACACGGAGUACUCCGUUCUGCAAAUGGUACUGCAGAGCGAGCUGCCAGGAGACAAUGCUACUGACGACCAGAGCAUAUAAAUGCAACACUUUUCAUAUUUGACAAUAUAUUUUGAAAGCACAAGACAAAUCAGAAACUGCUUUUAAUUUAGGUUUUUAUUUUCAUUUUGUUUUAUUUUUCAGUUGUUGAUUUGAUGGUGAUGUGAUGCUAUAUUACAUGUUUUUAAGAUUCAGUUGAAUUUAAGAUUUUUAAUAUAGCAUCAAAUCACAACCGUCUCCUCAAGUUGCUUUAUACUGUAAGAUAGAGACCCUACAGUAGCAGCAAGAAAACCCCAAUUAAUUAAUAAUCCCUUAUGAGCAAGCACUUGGCGACAGUGGGGAGGAAAAACUACCUGUAACAGGCAGAAACCUCCGGCAGAACCAGGCUCAGAAGGGACGACCAUCUGCCGCGGCCGGUGGGGGUGAUGGUAACGAUAAUGAGGAGACACGAUGAAGAAUAUUUCUCAGUCUAAUUAAAGUCGAAUGAAAUAGUUUUAAAAUAAAAUAUACCUCAGAUGUUAACUCUGAGGCCAGACUGCUUUAAGAUUUUAAAAGAGGUAUUUGAAAAAAAAAAAUCAAGAUGACAAUUUAGUCAUCAGUACUGCCUUUAAAGGACCAGCUGAACGGCUUCUUAAAAGCUUUUAACACUGCUGAGAAAAACCUGGCGAGUUUGGAUUUCUUUGGAGGAUUCAUGAAGACACCGAGAUUGAUUGCUAGGUGCUUCAGAAUAGUGUCGUAAAAAGAUGAAUCUUCUGAUGUCAUUACAGCGAAGAACUUGUCUGGAGAUCCAAACUCCUUGAUAAGGCCUUUAGCUGUGGCCUUGACUAAUUUAACCCUGUUAUUUUUAAGAAUUUCCAGGGAUUCGGUGCAUCUCACUUCAGAAAGUACCAAAUGUGACAGAUGGUUGAUAGCUAAGUCUAUUUUUUCUAUAUCCAGAACAUUUCUGGUAUUUUUGUGACAUUUUUGUGCCAUUGUCAUGAAUAGACUAUUGCUAAAUCGAAUGGCAACUAGCUUAGCAGCAUAAGGUAGCACUGAUGUUUCUGAUAGUUCUUCCUCUGUUUUUUCAGAGGUUGCUGGCUGACUUUGACCCUCUGUGUGUUCAGAGUGAGACACUGAUGCCUGAUCAUUGCUUGUAUUUGAAACCAGGUCCGGGUGUUCUGCACUCACACAGACUGGUUGAUUGGUGAGAUCAGUAACUGGACUUGACUGUGAUGUAAACAGUCUGUCACUUGUUUCAACAGCAUCUGGUCCAAUCAUAACUUCUUCCUUUGAUGGGGUCAGCACUCUUACUAUAUCUUCCACGGCACCAGAAAUUUUGUCAUUUAUAAUAGUUUGGGUUAAAGUUUCAUUCUCCAACCAGAAAAGAAGGUUUUGUAAGAACCUUUCCACUGAAUCUUCUAUGAGCACAUAGACCACAUCAGGAGCAGAGGGUACGUUACAGUCACCCUGUGAAGUCGUAGAGAUGGGGCCUGGAUAUGUUGACUCAACAUGGUCGUACACUUUAUCUGUCAACUCCCUUGAAAACAUCUCGAUUUCCUUACUUGUCAGGUCAAGGUGUCCUGCCUGUGUUAAUUUACUAAACAGUUUAUCCAUAACCGGCAUGACUGUUCUAAAUUUGAGUGGAGAAGAACUUUUAACUGUGGUUUCUAAGGUUGGUGACUUUCUGGGAACUUCUGAGGGAUUCAUGUGUACGCUUUUCCUGGAGUCAGCUCUCUCACUCUCAGCGGAGUUUGCCUGUUGUCUCUGAAAGGUGAAAAAUCCUUUGCUUUUCUUCAAAUGAUCUUUCAGCUCACAGUUUAAUUUUUCAAAUUCCUUUUUAGCAAACCUGAAGAAGUGUUGUUUUACUUCAUCUGGUUUUAUAAUUAGGGUGCAUGAUGCAAAAAAGUCUUUCACCUUUUUGAUCACCAGGUCUACAUCAAAAGCAGGCUUGGGUGAGCUACACUUCUCACUUAAUGUGAUAUCUUCUGCAUCAGGAUACUGAAUGUUAUCAAUUAACACAUUUACAAUGUCAGCUGCAGCUUUAUCUGCAUCAUGUAAAUGCAAAUUGUUGAGGAUUGUUUCAACAUCACUUUGAGCUUUCUCCUCAGCUUCUGCAAACUCAUCACUUUCUUUUUCCUCCAUGGGUUGCAGUUCUAUGUGACAGUCCUCGUCAUCUUUACUUAUCUCUCUGUCUGUACUCCACCUCAUGAGAGCCAUACUUAUUUCUUUAAUUGUUCCCAUCUCAGAGAGCUUGGAUUCAAGACUCUCAACGCUUGAACUAAAGGAGCUGGGUAAAGUCCUCAUGCACAGGCAGCUCAGCUUACCUUUAUAUUUCUUCAGAUAUGAGAAAGCAUGAGAAACCAUGCAUCUAAGUUUUUUUAUGUUUGUUAUUUUUCUGGUGACAUAAAUAGAUUCAGGGUUUUCUGGGACUAGAACCCAACCCGAGUUGACUUUAUUUGAGAUCUCCUCCUCAACCAUCUGUGUCAGCUCCACAGCGCUGUCACACUCCUCAUGGGUGACAUUAAGAGCGGCAGCAAAGCUGGUUGAGAGAGAGUUUCCCAAUAUGGGGCUUAUUUUUGUCACGGCUAUGCUAAGGCUUGUCUGGAAUGACGCAUCAUUUAAUUGGUCCUGACCUCCUAGAAGCAAAGUUUUUAUGAUGCUUGCACUAACUGACUGUAUGACAUCAGUAAUCAUAUCAGCCAGUGCUACUUGGACAUCGGAGUCCCAGAUCCCAUUUUCUAUCAACCCCCACUGUAAUCCAGAGAGCCUAUCGAAACACCCGCUGAUAGCAGGUAAAAUAGCCUCUGAAGUAAUGUGGAUAGGGAUUCUAACAUUGAAUACAGACAUUGUCAAUGACUUAGUUUCGCUACAAUUACUUUGGAAAUCCGUUUUCAGAAAGCUUUCAGAAAGGGAAGAUCGCGGUCUGUACAUUUAACGUACGACACCCCUAUUUAUGGCUUCAGGUGGAGGUCACGUGCUGCAAGAUCAAAGCAGAAAGGAACUGAGCUGUGUGACGUCAUGCCGUGAGCGUUCACGUGCACACAAGUGAGCGAUCUCACGCGUGCGCACAUAAAACGCUUUGAAAGCUGCAACUGCAUUAAAAUCAGAAUCGUUUUGAUGGAGAAGCCCCUCGCUAAUAAAUCACAGACGCAUAAACAGUGUUUUAGUUUCAGCGCCGACGUUGAAGUCGGUGUUGUCAAACUUUCAAUCAUACCUGUAGCUAGUUCUUUGAAUCUCUCAAAUGGGUUGAAUGGCGGUUGUUUUCCACCAUCAUCGCAGAGCAUUCCUCCAGCAGGUCCAACGCCUGAUUCAAGAAAACCCGCGACUCCGGCAGCUGUGCUCCGAAGCAGUUUGCUAACGUGAUGGUUAACUAGCUAAAGAAUCCCAACAUAUAUGAGGUACUUAAAAAACCAAGGGAACGAAGAAGGAUGAGGAGAAGUCGAGACAGCGAUCUGACUGAUUGGUUAAUCUGAGGCUCUCAGUGCUUCUCGGAUUCACACACAAAUGUACCGUCGAUUUCCUCAAAUAUCAAGCGUGGUCCGGUGCACGCUGUCACUACCGAUCGGUGCCAAUGUCAUUCCCAAUAUGCGCUGGCAUGACGUCGGAGCAGCAUGAGUACGAGCAUUUUUUUUUUUUUUUUUUUUUUUUUUUUGCCGAUGCCCGUCAUGCCGCCCCCCACCACGAUGCCGCCCUGGGCAACCGCCCGUGUCGCCCGUAUCAAAAGCCGCUACUGUACACCUGUGUAAAUAAUUAACAAUAAAAUAAUAAUGCUUCCCAAAGAUAUUUAGGACAUUUUUAAUUCACCCUGUAAAUAGAUAAUGAAGAACUGAGGUACACGAAUGAAAUUAGUUACUGCUAAAAACCUGCUUAGCUUAUGAAAACAGCAUUUUGAGCACAGUAAAAAUGGCUUUUUGAUUUUUUUCAAAUUAUCCUCGUGCUUAUUCAGAGGGACAAAAAGACCUGUGCAAAUAUAUUCAGUUAUCAGGUUUAAGAAAUUAUUACAAAAAAUAUAAAACCUUGAAAAUUCACACAAUGUGGGAAAAAGAAAGCAAUAAGCAUUUAUUUUAUUUUCUGAUCAUUACGGAAACGUGAAGACUUUAGAGGCUAUC
ensembl:lncRNA